rnacentral:rRNA from 1 species
UACAGAGGGGGCAAGCGUUAUUCGGAAUUAUUGGGCGUAAAGGGCGCGUAGGCGGCUUGGCAAGUGGAUGGUGAAAUCCCUCGGCUUAACCGAGGAAUUGCCAUCCAGACUGCUUUGCUUGAGGCCGGGAGAGGUGAGUGGAAUUCCCAGUGUAGCGGUGAAAUGCGUAGAGAUCAGGAGGAACACCCAUGGCGAAGGCAGCUCUCUGGUCGACCUCUGACGCUGAGACGCGAAAGCGUGGGGAGCGAACGGG